rnacentral:rRNA from 1 species
UACGGAGGGUGCAAGCGUUAUCCGGAUUCACUGGGUUUAAAGGGUGCGUAGGUGGGCAGGUAAGUCAGUGGUGAAAUCUCCGGGCUUAACUCGGAAACUGCCAUUGAUACUAUCUUUCUUGAAUACCGUGGAGGUCAGCGGAAUAUGUCAUGUAGCGGUGAAAUGCUUAGAUAUGACAUAGAACACCAAUUGCGAAGGCAGCUGGCUACACAAAUAUUGACACUGAGGCACGAAAGCGUGGGGAUCAAACAGG